rnacentral:rRNA from 1 species
GACGAACGCUGGCGGCGUGCUUAACACAUGCAAGUCGAACGGAAAGGCCCUGCUUUUGUGGGCUGCUCGAGUCGCGAACGCGUGAGUAACACGUGAGUACCCUCCCCUUGAUUUUGGGAUACCUUCAGGAAAUUGGGGCUAAUACGGGAUAGGAGCUCCUGCUGCAUAGUGGGGGUUGGAAAGUUUGGGCGGUUGGGGCAGGUCACGCGGCUUACCAGUUUGUUGGAGGGGUAGUGCCAUACCAAGCUUUUGACGGGUAGCCGGCCUGAGAGGGUGACCGGCCACAUUGGGAGUGAGAUACGGCCCAGACUCCUACGGGGGGCAGAGGUGGGGAAUAUUGCACAAUGGGCGGAAGCCUGAUGCAGCAACGCCGCGUGCGGGAUAAGGGCCUUCGGGUUGUAAACCGCUUUCGCCUGUGACGAAGCGUGAGUGACGGUAAUGGGUAAAGAAGCACCGGCUAACUACGUG